rnacentral:rRNA from 1 species
GGGUUGUGAGGUUAAGCGACUAAGCGUACACGGUGGAUGCCCUGGCAGUCAGAGGCGAUGAAGGACGUGCUAAUCUGCGAUAAGCGUCGGUAAGGUGAUAUGAACCGUUAUAACCGGCGAUUUCCGAAUGGGGAAACCCAGUGUGUUUCGACACACUAUCAUUAACUGAAUCCAUAGGUUAAUGAGGCGAACCGGGGGAACUGAAACAUCUAAGUACCCCGAGGAAAAGAAAUCAACCGAGAUUCCCCCAGUAGCGGCGAGCGAACGGGGAGCAGCCCAGAGCCUGAAUCAGUGUGUGUGUUAGUGGAAGCGUCUGGAAAGGCGCGCGAUACAGGGUGACAGCCCCGUACACAAAAAUGCACAUGCUGUGAGCUCGAUGAGUAGGGCGGGACACGUGGUAUCCUGUCUGAAUAUGGGGGGACCAUCCUCCAAGGCUAAAUACUCCUGACUGACCGAUAGUGAACCAGUACCGUGAGGGAAAGGCGAAAAGAACCCCGGCGAGGGGAGUGAAAAAGAACCUGAAACCGUGUACGUACAAGCAGUGGGAGCACAGAGCAAUCUGUGUGACUGCGUACCUUUUGUAUAAUGGGUCAGCGACUUAUAUUCUGUAGCAAGGUUAACCGAAUAGGGGAGCCGAAGGGAAACCGAGUCUUAACUGGGCGUUAAGUUGCAGGGUAUAGACCCGAAACCCGGUGAUCUAGCCAUGGGCAGGUUGAAGGUUGGGUAACACUAACUGGAGGACCGAACCGACUAAUGUUGAAAAAUUAGCGGAUGACUUGUGGCUGGGGGUGAAAGGCCAAUCAAACCGGGAGAUAGCUGGUUCUCCCCGAAAGCUAUUUAGGUAGCGCCUCGUGAAUUCAUCUCCGGGGGUAGAGCACUGUUUCGGCAAGGGGGUCAUCCCGACUUACCAACCCGAUGCAAACUGCGAAUACCGGAGAAUGUUAUCACGGGAGACACACGGCGGGUGCUAACGUCCGUCGUGAAGAGGGAAACAACCCAGACCGCCAGCUAAGGUCCCAAAGUCAUGGUUAAGUGGGAAACGAUGUGGGAAGGCCCAGACAGCCAGGAUGUUGGCUUAGAAGCAGCCAUCAUUUAAAGAAAGCGUAAUAGCUCACUGGUCGAGUCGGCCUGCGCGGAAGAUGUAACGGGGCUAAACCAUGCACCGAAGCUGCGGCAGCGACGCUUAUGCGUUGUUGGGUA